GAAAAGGUUUUAUUAAAAACCACCCAGAUGUAUGUUUUGUCAAGU
rfam:Egretta garzetta contig167, whole genome shotgun sequence.